UCGAGACCCAAAUUAUAUCGAGCGAUUCGGAGAACCCGUGAUUGAAAGAUGCGGCGGCGGACGUCGCCGCGGAGCGGCCGUCCCCCCCCCCCCCCCCCCCCCCCCCCCCCUGGGGGGGGGGGGCCGCGACGGGGGUGGAGGCUGUUUCCCCCGAUCCGGCGCAGACUGGCGCCAAGGGAGCUAUCGAAGAACACGAGCCCGGCAUCGGGUCAUCGUGGGGUGGAGCGGUGCAGCGCACCGCACGUACUGACACGACUCUCGACAAUGGAUAUCUCGGCUCUCGCAUCGAUGAAGAGCGCAGCGAAAUGCGAUACGUGGUGCGAAUUGCAGAAUCCCGCGAACCAUCGAGUCUUUGAACGCAAGUUGCGCCCGAGGCCAAUCGGUCGAGGGCACGUCCGCCUGGGCGUCAAGCGUUGCGCCGCUCCGUGCCGAGUCCCCACCAUCCCGCCGCGGUGGGGGUGCCGGGCGAGGCUCGGAUGUGCAGAGUGGCUCGUCGUGCCCGUCGGUGCGGCGGGCUGAAGAUCGGGUUAUCGUCUCAUUGGCCACGAACAACGAGGGGUGGAUGAAAGCUGCCGCGGGCGAGGCCCGCGUUGUCUCGUGCCGGCCCGAGAGAAGAUCACACCCUCCGUGCGAUCCCAUCCCACGCGCCGCCACCCGUGCGGCGGCUUGGAAU
rnacentral:rRNA from 1 species